rnacentral:rRNA from 1 species
UACGUAGGGUGCGAGCGUUGUCCGGAAUUAUUGGGCGUAAAGGGCUCGUAGGCGGUUUGUCGCGUCGGGAGUGAAAACACCGGGCUUAACUCGGUGCUGGCUUUCGAUACGGGCAGACUAGAGGUAUGCAGGGGAGAACGGAACUCCUGGUGUAGCGGUGAAAUGCGCAGAUAUCAGGAGGAACACCGGUGGCGAAGGCGGUUCUCUGGGCAUGUCCUGACGCUGAGGAGCGAAAGCGUGGGUAGCGAACAGG